AGAAAAGUAAAAUUUUAAGCUUCUAACUUAAAUUGUGAUUAUUUAUAUAAAUCACUUUUCUU
rnacentral:tRNA from 1 species